rnacentral:rRNA from 1 species
GAGUUCAAGAGUACGUGAACCGUUCAGGGGUAAACCUGAGAAGCCAGAAAGGUCGAAUGGGGAAAUUCAUUCRCGUUUCGGCCGUCGGCGUGGGAUGGUCGAGCGACGGACGGCGUACGCGUCGUCCGCGCCUUCCGUUCUUCGAACCGGCGUCGAACGCGUGCACUUUUCCCCUAGUAGGACGUCGCGAUCCGUUGGGUGUCGGUCUACGGCUCGCGGUGGAGCCCGUGCGGUCGCUUCGCGGCGUAUCGCACGGACCCGCGGUGUCCCGGCCGACUCGCUCGACGGUAUACAGAUGGCGCGAGGCCGCUACUUUUAGUUAGCGUUCGGCCCGCGGCAAGAGCGUUCGUCGUUUGACGGCGAUCGGACCUGGUGCCGGUCCUGUCCGCGAACGACUGUUGGCUGCGGUGUUCUCGAACAGAYCUCGAAASAAACGCCGAUCUGCGACGCUAUAGCUUUGGGUACUUUCAGGACCCGUCUUGA